GUUCUUUUGUUUUAAAUAAAAGAUUUAACCUGCUCUAUGAUUAUUAAAUGGCUGCAGUAUUUUGACUGUACAAAGGUAGCAUAAUAAUUUGUCUUUUAAUUGAAGACUGGUAUGAAUGGUUGGAUGAGAAAUAUACUUUCUUUAUUUUAUAUAAAUAAAUUGAUUUUUUAGUUAAAAAGCUAAAAUAUUUUUAUAGGACGAGAAGACCCUAUAGAACUUUACUUUAAUAUAAGUAUACUAUUUAUAUAUUUUUAAAAUUUUAUAUUUUUAUUAAAGUUUUGUUGGGGUGACAAAAAAAAUUAUAUAACUUUUUUUUAUUAAACCAUUAAUUUAUGUUUUUUUGAUCCUUUAUUAUGGAAAAUAAGAUUAAGUUACCUUAGGGAUAACAGCGUUAUUUUUUUGGAGAGUUCAUAUUGAUAAAAAAGUUUGCGACCUCGAUGUUGGAUUAAAAUAAGUUACAGGGGUAUAAUAUUGUACACUAGGUCUGUUCGACCUUUAAAUUUUUACA
rnacentral:rRNA from 1 species